AUUGAACGCUGGCGGCAUGCUUUACACAUGCAAGUCGAACGGUAACAGGCCGCAAGGUGCUGACGAGUGGCGAACGGGUGAGUAAUGCAUCGGAACGUGCCCAGUCGUGGGGGAUAACGCAGCGAAAGCUGCGCUGAUACCGCAUACGAUCUCUGGAUGAAAGCGGGGGACCGAAAGGCCUCGCGCGAUUGGACCGGCCGAUGUCAGAUUAGGUAGUUGGUGGGGUAAGGGCCCACCAAGCCAACGAUCCGUAGCUGGUCCGAGAGGACGACCAGCCACACUGGGACUGAGACACGGCCCAGACUCCUACGGGAGGCAGCAGUGGGGAAUUUUGGACAAUGGGCGCAAGCCUGAUCCAGCAAUGCCGCGUGCAGGAAGAAGGCCUUCGGGUUGUAAACUGCUUUUGUACGGAACGAAACGGUCCGGGUUAAUACCCUGGGCUAAUGACGGUACCGUAAGAAUAAGCACCGGCUAACUACGUGCCAGCAGCCGCAGUAA
rnacentral:rRNA from 1 species